GAACUGAAACAUCUAAGUAGCCGGAGGAAAAGGAAUCAACAGAGAUACCCCUAGUAGCGGCGAGCGAACGGGGCAGAGCCCAAACCGGAAUGGGAAACCAAUCCGGGGUUGUGGACUGCUAUCAAAUGCAUGAGUGAAGCAGAAUGAGCUGGGAAGCUCAGCCAGAGAGAGUGAGAGCCUCGUAGGCGUAAGCAAGUGCAUGGAGCAGGAUCCGGAGUACCACGGGACACGAGAAACCCUGUGGGAAGCUGGGGGGACCACCCUCCAAGGCGAAACACUGAUAUGGACCGAUAGCGCAUAGUACCGUGAGGGAAAGGUGAAAAGAACCCCGGGAGGGGAAUGAAAGAGAACCUGAAACCGUAUGUCUACAAGCAGUCGAAGACCUUUAUAUGGUCGACGGCGUGCCUAUUGAAGAAUGAACCGGCGAGUUACUUCAGCUAGCGAGGUUAAGCAGAAAAUGCGGAGCCGCAGCGAAAGCGAGUCUGAACAGGGCGUAUAGUUAGUUGGAGUAGACCCGAAACCACAGUGAUCUACCCAUGUCCAGSUGA
rnacentral:rRNA from 1 species